GAUGAACGCUGGCGGCGUGCUUAACACAUGCAAGUCGAACGAAGCAUUUAGGAUUGAAGUUUUCGGAUGGAUUUCCUAUAUGACUGAGUGGCGGACGGGUGAGUAACGCGUGGGGAACCUGCCCUAUACAGGGGGAUAACAGCUGGAAACGGCUGCUAAUACCGCAUAAGCGCACAGAAUCGCAUGAUUCAGUGUGAAAAGCCCUGGCAGUAUAGGAUGGUCCCGCGUCUGAUUAGCUGGUUGGUGAGGUAACGGCUCACCAAGGCGACGAUCAGUAGCCGGCUUGAGAGAGUGAACGGCCACAUUGGGACUGAGACACGGCCCAAACUCCUACGGGAGGCAGCAGUGGGGAAUAUUGCACAAUGGGGGAAACCCUGAUGCAGCGACGCCGCGUGAGUGAAGAAGUAUUUCGGUAUGUAAAGCUCUAUCAGCAGGGAAGAAAACAGACGGUACCUGACUAAGAAGCCCCGG
rnacentral:rRNA from 1 species